UACGGAGGGUGCAAGCGUUUGUCCGGAAUCACUGGGCGUAAAGGGCGCGUAGGCGGCUCAUGAAGGCUGUGGUGAAAGUCCGGGGCUCAACCUCGGAUCGGCCGUGGCGACUCGUGGGCUGGAGCACUGUAGAGGCGGGUGGAAUUCCGGGUGUAGCGGUGGAAUGCGUAGAUAUCUGGAGGAACACCGGUGGCGAAGGCGGCGAUCUGGCCCAACAUUGACACUGAGACCCGAAAGCGUGGGGAGCGAACAGG
rnacentral:rRNA from 1 species